UGAGGAAUAUUGGGCAAUGUCCGCAAGGGUGACCCAGCAACGCCGCGUGGAGGAUGAAUGUCGUAAGAUUGUAAACUCCUGUUAGAGGGGAAGAAUAGUACCGGUUGGACCGGUAUAUGACUGUACCCUCAGAGAAAGCCCCGGCUAACUACGUGCCAGCAGCCGCGGUAAUACGUAGGGGGCAAGCGUUGUCCGGAUUUACUGGGUGUAAAGGGCGCGCAGGCGGGAUAAAAAGUCAGUGGUGAAAUCCUACAGCUUAACUGUAGAACUGCCUUUGAUACUUUUAUUCUUGAGUUCGGGAGAGAGAGACGGAAUUCCAGGUGUAGUGGUGAAAUACGUAGAUAUCUGGAAGAACACCAGUUGCGAAGGCGGUCUCCUGGUCCGACACUGACGCUGAGGCGCGAAAGCGUGGGGAGCAAACA
rnacentral:rRNA from 1 species